rnacentral:rRNA from 1 species
UAGGGAAUCUUCCGCAAUGGACGAAAGUCUGACGGAGCAACGCCGCGUGAGUGAAGAAGGAUUUCGGUUCGUAAAACUCUGUUGUUAGGGAAGAAAAAAUGUAUAGUAACUAUAUACAAAAGAGACGGUACCUAACCAGAAAGCCACGGCUAACUACGUGCCAGCAGCCGCGGUAAUACGUAGGUGGCAAGCGUUGUCCGGAAUUAUUGGGCGUAAAGCGCGCGCAGGUGGUUUAGAAAGUCUGAUGUGAAAGCCCACGGCUCAACCGUGGAGGGUCAGUGGAAACUAAGAAACUUGAGUGCAGGAGAGAAAAGUGGAAUUCCUAGGGUAGCGGUGAAAUGCGUAGAGAUUAGGAGGAACACCGGUGGCGAAAGCGGCUUUUUGGCCUGCAACUGACACUGAGGCGCGAAAGCGUGGGGGGCAAACAGG